rnacentral:lncRNA from 1 species
UUCCUUUCAAAUUCUCCCAUGGCGUUUAAUUUUACACCAGUAACCACUUUGAGAUAGAACCAAUCCUUUUAAUAUUUCUUGGAGCAAAAAACAAUACCUCUGGGUGCUACAGAGAGAAGGAGAUAUGCUGGACGUCCACCUCCGACUGUUUUGUGAGAGGUUGAAAAGGGUGUUAGCAGGUGAAGAAGGCAUGUUAACGUGGCCUGAUUCAACAAAUUUAACUCCACGUUUUCAAAACCUUCUUACGGAGUCCGAAAUUAUUGCUACUACUCUGUUGGGAAACUAUGAAGCUGACAUGGCUCGUCGUGUGAUUCAACGCAUCCUUAGAGACCUACCCGAUAAAAACGAAAUAGCUUUGUAUUUUCUGCAACUGUUGGACUUAGAAGAAAGCGAUGAAGACAGCGAGGAAGACAUUUUGGAAAUUCUGGAGGACAUCAAUCACCAUGUCAAUGAAUCUGAGGAAGCCAUUGACUCAUUCUUUAUCAACAUCAUGCAUCAGCAGAACAGUGAAAACGAAAGUGAAAGCAGUACUUGUAUGGCUAUUCUUGUUGGACUCCACAGUAAAAUCAUUGCUAUUAGAAAUCGGAUGCAACAACUUCCACCCGGCAACAAUGGUUUUGAUAUCAGUGAACAAAGGGAAAAACUCAUUCACUUAUUGACUGACGGACAACCUCGGCUUGAUAUCAAUGAAUUUGAAAGGGGCAGAGAGGAGUUGUUUGAUUUAUUGAUUGAAGGACAUCCUCGGCUUGCAGUGGGGCAGAGAGGAGUUGUUUGAUUUUGUUUGAUUUAUUGAUUGAAGGACAUCCUCGGCUUGCAGUGGUUGCAAUUGCCGACAGCAGUGGCUUCGAUAAGACUGCUUUUGCUGCUGAUACUUAUAACAAUAAUCAUGUCAAGUUCUAUUUUGACUGUCUUGCUUGGGUCAGGGUUUCUGUAUUCUACCAUUUUGGCAAGAUAUUGGAUGACAUAAUCAAGUCUGUUAUGCCUCCAUCUCGGGUUAGUGUAAUUAUCGGGGAAGAUUAUCAAUUGAAGAAAUCUAUUCUUCGAGAUUACCUAACAAACAGGAAGUACUUUAUUGUGCUUGAUGAUGUCUUCGAUGACAGUGAGAUAUGGAGUGAUCUUGAAGAAGUUCUUCCUGAUAAUCAGAAUGGAAGCAGAGUAUUGAUAUUGGUCACUGAUCCACACCUCCUUACGCUGUCGGAAAUGGAAAACGGAGAGAAGAUUCGGCUUGAUUCGGUGCUCAUUGGAGGACCAUUGAUCAGAUUAAAGCAUGAAGCCUGGCAAUUUUUCAUCCUACACUAUGGAAGUAUGCCCUUAGAAAAUUAUCUUCAAGGCGAAACGAUUCCGACAAUUUUGAGUCGAAUUUGUUCUGUGUUGGAGUUACCUUUUCACUUGAAAAUCUGCUGCAUUUAUUUGUGUGUUUUCCCUCCAAGUAUUGAGAUAUCUACUAGGCAAUUAUAUCAGUUGUGGGAAGCUGAAGGUUUCAUACCAUACAACAGUGAGGAAACUGCAGAACAUCACUUAAAAGAACUAAUCCGUCGCGGCUUCAUUCAAGUGAGUAAGAGAAGAGCCGGAGGCACAAUUAAAUCGUGUUAUUUUCCAAGUAUUGUAGAUACUUCAUUGUUUUUGGUGGCAGAGAAGACGGAAUUUGUCUGGUCGCCUGACAUGGUAGAGGAACCAAUGGCAAAUGUUAAACGGUGCUUCAUUUUGAAAGAUCUGAUUGACUUCUUUCCUUCAGAAUAUUCUGACAUGUAUCUCCAAUCUUUUCUCAAUCACAGUUCAGAAAGCGAUCGUCUCGCUCGGAUAGAUUGCGAGAAUUUUUGUAAAAAGUUCAAAUACCUUCGGGUAUUGGACUUGGGUUCUGCAGUUCUCGACCAAUUUCCACCCGGAUUAGAAAAUUUAUUCCUUUUGAAGUAUUUGAAAUUGAAUAUCCCUUCGCUCAAAUGCCUUCCUUCGCAGCUAUGCACCCUUUUAAACCUUCAAACACUACAAAUGCCAUCUAGCUACAUAGAUCAGUCACCAGAGGAUAUUUGGAUGAUGCAAAAACUCAUGCAACUAAACUUCGGUUCCAUCACUCUGCCUGCACCUCCAACAAAUUAUUCCAGCUCUUUGAAGAAUCUUAUUUUCAUAUCAGCCUUACACCCUAUUAGUUGCACUCCAGAUAUAUUGGGCAGAUUACCAAAUAUUCAAACUCUUAGAAUAUCUGGAGAUUUGAGUUAUGAUCAAUCUAGGGUUUCCAAAAGCCUAUGCGAACUACAAAAACUUGAAUGGUUGAAGCUGGUGAAUGAAAGCAAGCCCUCACGAAUGGUCCUGUCUGAAUACCAGUUUCCUCCAAGUCUGACCCAUCUGAGCUUAUCAAAUACUGAGCUAAAGGAGGAUCCCAUGCCAACGCUAGAAAAGCUUCCAUACGUUCAAGUGCUGAAACUGAAGCAGAACUCCUAUUUAGGAAGAAAGCUGGCCUGCGUUGGCUCUGGUGGCUUUCCGGAACUUAAGGUUUUGCACCUGAAAUCAAUGUAUUGGCUAGAUGAGUGGACGAUGGGGGCUGGAGCAAUUCCAAAACUUGAAAGCUUAAUUGUCGACCCAUGUGCUUACUUGAGAAAGCUUCCAGAAGAGCUGUGGUGCAUACAGAGCUUGCGCAAAUUGGAUUUACAUUGGCCUCAGACAGAGUUGAGACAAAGACUACGGACUUUCGAGGAUAUGGAGUGGCGGUAUGACAUCCAGUUAUAUCCUUAUGGAAUCUGAUGGAUUGAAUUGGGUGAGUUUUAAUCUUAUCAGACAACUCAUUCUUUUAUAUGCAAUUUUUUUUUAUGUUUAUCGUAAAACCUACAAGGAGGUCAUAAAAAUGCCAAACUAAUUGAGGUUGCUUCUGAUGUCAAAAUUAUGUCUCAACAUAGACUCAGUUUGACUGGCAAAACAGAGUGGGAUAGCCACACAUUGCAGCAGAGAAACAAAGAAAGAUCCCUUUAUAUAUAUCUAAUAAGAACUGUAAAAGCAGAUUUUAAUUUGUGAUUCUUAUUUCCCUUUACUUAUGUAGGCAAAACUGGAGAGGGAAACAACACCAGCCGGACUUUCAAUUUCAUGAGACGGGGCAUUGUUCUAUUUAGCAGAUUUCAAGGAUUUGCUUUAAUAUGCCAUGGUUGCAAUAUUGUCUAGAAACUUGAAUAGUUGCACUCCUUUUUCUAUUUUGAAUUUGCUGGUAUGUUUGUAGGGGCGUGUGCGUGUGUGUUGAGUUUUGAUUAAUGUAUUAUGCUUCGAUGUACUCCAUUUAAGCCCCGGACUUGCCGGUAUGGUUUGGAUAGCUUUGGAUUUGCAUGGUUUGCUAGUUAGAGAAAUGGUUUGCUAGUUAUAGAAAUAUCAAUCUUACUAGGAAAACUACCUCAUGCGUGUACGUUUCUGGCUUCAUUUUAGUUGCUGAUUGCACCUUCAAUUACAUUAGAGUAUAUGGAGUAAAAAAAAAAAGUUAAAUUAUUGGCUGAUUUUUAAGAUACUUUCAAGUUUGGCCCAUACCUCAAUUGUCAGAAAGUAUAUGGAGUAAAAAAAAAAAGGUUGGGUGUAAAUAAGUGAUAUACAGAUGUAAGGCUUCUUUGAUCACAUUUGAAGUUAAUUACAAGCAUAUCUCUUGAUAUUUAAGUAAAUAAAAAAAAUAGAAUAUUGGCUGUUGAAUAGAUAAUAAGCAUAGAUCUUGACUUUUGAAUUAAUUACAAAAAUUUUAGUGAACAGAAGAAAUCCAUUUGUUCCACCGAUUACAUUGAGGAUUUUAAUGAAUCCCAAUCUUAGGUAACAUGCUAAUGCUAACAGUAAUGGCAAGAUAUCAAAUGUCGGAGAUAAGAGACUAUUAGCUUUAAGCGAACCAACAGAGAUUGACAAGUUAGAAAUAACUUGCUAAGUUGAGAAAUACGCCUGACAAAUAAUAUGAUUUUCCCAAAUAAAUUAGGUUUUAAUUUAACAAGUUUUCAUUUACAAAUGCAUUUUAAUCCAAUGAUUUAUCACAAUGUCCCACCAAACUGAACAAAGAAAGAAAGAUAUAAUACAAUUACAAGUUUCCUAAUUAAGCUAUAUGAUUAUGAAUUAAAGCGAAUACUAUUGACUUGACGAACCACUUUUUGUGUUUCUUUAUAAGUACGUAUAUGUACCAACAAAAUUCUUCUUAAAACAAAAAAAAAAUUCUCUCUUUAAAUUUGUAAAUAUUCAUUUACCAAUAAAUUAAUAAAUUAUUCAUUCAAUAAUAAAUAAAUACUCCUCUAAAAUAAUAUCUUUUCGUAGUCCUAAUAAUAUUAUUUUAUAGAUACUUUCUACAUUUAUUGUGCAAUAAUUAAAAAAAUUUAUAUUUUUUAAAAAUAUAAUUACAAUCCAGAUACAUAUAUAUUUAUAAUACAACUCUGAAAUAUAUCAAGACUAGUUAGAAAAUCUACUUCCACUAAUAAUAUUAUUAAGGAGAAAUUAGCCCUAUUCCACGUUUUUACAAUUUGAUUUAAUAUAAAUUUUGUUCAAGAAAUUUAUCUUUUUUAAGAAAAUAUUUGAUUAACAAAUUAUUAUUAUUAUAGCGAAAAUAAAAAAGCAGCGGCAGAAGAAGGCUCUAACAACAAAAUGAAACAUUUACAUUUUUCAUUUCCCAAAACCCUUCGCUCUCUCACUCAGGACACUCACUGAUGCGCAAGCAAUGGCUCGCACUGCCAUCCUCUGCCUCCGCUGGUCAUUACCGGCCAUCGUUGCUCUUCGCCGCUCUCUCUCUGCGGCCGUCCCUGCACUCUCCGCAUCCACUCCUCUCGUAAACCCCUCCAUUUCAUCGGCAUCGUCAUCAGUAAUCUCCUCCUCCUCCUCCUCCAUCAUCCAAUCUCGACUGUGGUUUAUCAACUUCAGGUACAUGUACCUUGAUGUAUGUACCAUCUAAUGCCCUAAAGCAAUUCUAUUAAUCGAUUCAAACAAAAAAAAAUUAUAAUAUAAAAUGGCAAGCUCUCUUUAUUAGAAGAGAAAAUAAAAAUCAAGAAUUUAAGCAUGUCAUUCCUUAAAUCAUUUCCAUCUCUCUCGUCAGUGCAGUUUUACUUACAGGGUCAGGUGUUCUUAAUAAGAUAUUUUCCAAUUGUAAAACUGCAUUUAAGACCAAGUUGAAGUAUCUACUAAUUGUCUCCCCCAAACAUAGAAAUCUACUAUGAAUUGUUCUGUUUUUUUACAUGAUGGGCAAGUAUAUGUAGAAACAUGCAUACUUGUUCCUCAACAGAGACUAUACCAUCAGCCUUCAACCCCCAUUUAUACGAAGUAGCUCACAUAAUAAUUCGAAUGUUCUCUUAUCCAUCAUAGUUGAUUCACAUAUUCUAUGUCACUGCCUAAGAUAAUUUCUAUAUAAAUGAGGCGUGUUGCAUGCCUAAUGAAUGUGCGAUUUGCAACUGUAUAUUUUUUGUUUUGUCGACUUUUGUGUUGCCAAAGUACAGCAGCCAAUACACACAAGCACAAUUGUUGUAAACGGAACUCGUGUAUAAGAGAGAACAAUGUAAUUUCUCUUUCAUCCAUAUCCAGUCAUUGAAGGUAUACGGUGUGAGCAUAUCAUAUGAAUAUUAAAGUAAGUGAAGUAAAUAUCAACAUAAAGAAUUAUGAUAACUGGACAGAUAAAGAACUCAUUGAGAUACAUUUCAUGUGAACAAGUUAUUAGCUCAGUUCCAAGAAACUUAUAAAGCAACAGUUUUCUUUUCAAAAUAUUUAAGUCUUAUCAACAUAAGAGACAAAGUUUAAUUAUUGUAUUCUUAAAAGCAUAAUGAUAAAGUUCUAUUUAAUAGCUAGAAAUAAAGUAAAUUCACUAUAGACAAGAACAAAUUUCUAGAAUUGCUACCUUUUUUUUCAAAUAAAAGAAAUUCACUAAAGAACAAAAUGACGAGAUCCAACUUUAACCAAAAAGCAAAUCACAUAAGCUAACUAAGAAUCUGCACCAUAUGGCUAGAAAUUGACAGCUGGGUUUGCUAGCUUAUUAACAAUGCCAUUACCGUAUCCCAAAAAAUAAAAGAAAUUCUACAUAAAUGUCUCUUUUCAAUUCAUCCCGAGUUUUAGUCAAAACCCAAAAAAUUUCCUUCAUGAAGCUACUCUUUCCAAUGAACAAAUCCAUAAAAUAGUUCACUCAACACAAACAAUUAACCCUUUCCAAAAAAAAAAACACAAACAAUUAACAAAAUUGAUUUAUAACAUGAAAAUUAAAAUAGACAAUAAGAAACACUCAACUGCCAUAUAAAACAUGAAAAUUUCAUCCUAUUAAAUAAUUACAACAAAUAAAUAAACAAAUAAACUUAAUUGAAUUUUUUAGUCAAGAUUUGAGGAGAUUCACUGCAUGAACAAAGGAGAUGGAGAGAAAUUUUAGGGCUUUUUUUUUGGGUGAAAGCCCAUUUAGUCCAUGUAUUUUAAGAUUAGUGACCAUUUAGUCCUUUUAUUUUUAAAAAUGUCUCGAAACAUCCCUGCUGUUAAAGUAUUAAUACCCCUACCGUUACUUUUUAUUUCUUUUGGCUUACUUUUACAAUAUUAACCUUUUAUAAUAAUUUUUUUGUUUGGACAUUAAUAAAAAGAAAAUAAUUAAAUUACCAAAUUAACCAUAAAAAUGAAAAUUAAAAAUUUAUAUUAAUUUUUAACUGUCAAAAAUUGCAUGCAAACUACCAAGUGUGCAAAUGGUGCUUGCAAAAAAAUUAAUAUAAAUUUUAUUUUUUAUUUUUAGGGUUAAAUUAGUAAUUUAAUUUUUUUAUUAAUGUCCGAAAAAAUUAUUAUAAAAGGGUAAUAUUAUAAAAGUAAGUCAAAAGAAAUAAAAAGUAACAGUAGGGAUAUAAAUACUUUAACGAAAGGGAUGUUUUGAGGCAUUUUUAAAAAUAUAGGGACUAAAUAGACACUAAUAUUAAAAUAAAAUGACUAAAUAAACUUUUACCCUACUUUUUUUUUAAUCCUGUGAAUAGCCUAUGGCUAAAUUUUAGAUUAUCCCACGCCCCCUGGUUAUAAAAAUUAAAGUAGUGACAGUUAUAAUGCAUCUUCGCUUUAACAAUUGUGAGUAUGGGUUGUAAAUUUGCUUUCUAUCUAAUUAUGCUUUUGGCAUAUGCGCCUAAAUAUACACGUCAGGAAAUUGAAUUGUAUGUUUUUUACAAUAACUCUUUUUUUUUUUUUUGAAGGGAAAGUAAAGCUUUCCAUUAAACUGACUUUGAAAACAACAGCAAAAUAUUGUAUGGAAAAUUUUCCAGCCACAGAGCAGGUCUUUCAAAACUUAAAGCUAAUUUAGCUAAUGAAUCAACUAAAGCAUUACAAGCUCUCGGGACAUAUUGAAUUCUCGAGGGAUUUUGGUUUUUUGAAAACAACUGAAUGUCAGCAAUUGUCCAGGCUAUCUCUGUUAAGCUACCCUUUCUGUUGAUAGAUAGCUCCACCACCUCUGAUGAAUCUGAUUCAAUAAUCAUAGGCCUACAGUUUACUUGAAAAGCAUUUUGAAUACCAAAGAGGACAGCCUCAGCCUCCAUAUCAACCACAGAACCCUCAUAUAGAACUCUCUUAACAGCUGCAGCUAUGAUCUUUCCCCUGGAAUUCCUUAUCACUACCCCCAGACCCGCCUGCUGGGCUGAAGUAUUUAUUGCAGCAUCCACAUUCACUUUGUACCAACCUUCUGGGGGGCCCAUCCAAGUCUGAAUCUUUUUCCUGGGAGUCUUUAAGGUAGCUUGAUCCUUCGAGCAUUUUAUCCUCUUGUACGAUUCCACUAUGGCUUCUGCUCUUGCAACUGGUAAGAGGGGGUCCUCUUGUUUCCCCUUAAAAAUUUGGAUAUUUCUUGAAUGCUAGAUAGCCCAACAGAUUGCAGCUACCAUCUCCCUGCCUUCUUUGCUUCUUUUCAAAGCUACUUCUUGGAUCAUGCUUAAGAUAUCUUGUUGAGCCAUCAUCUUUAUAUCUUCGUAAAAUUCUGUCUUUUUCCAAACUCUUCUAGUAGCCUUACAUUCCAGUAAAGCAUGGACCACAUCUUCUCUCCUACACCCACAUCUUACGCACACUGGCUCCACCACAAUUUUCCUUUUCCAUAAGUUACUUGCUGUUGGCAGCAGAUUUUUGAUAGCCUUCCACAUAAAUAUUUUCACCUUUUCUGGAAGCUCGUCGGACCAAAAGACAUCCCAUCGUGAUUUGGAGCUAUCAGAACAACUUGGGACUUCUUUGAAUUUUUCCUUCACAUCUAUUUGGUAACCACUCAUAGCUGAGUAUUUCCCAUGCUUAUCAAACCGCCAUAUUAGAGCAUCUGGUUGAGGAGUUCCUCGGGAGAGGUAGUUUUAAAAUUUCUGCUGAAAUGUCCUCUGAGAAACUUUGAGCUAUUAGAUCUCCAUUCCAUUGCUGGCCAUCCUUUAUCAGAUCCGCCACAACAGCUUCAGGAUGUAGACUUGACCAAGGGACUAGUCUGAAAACACUAUUCUGAAUCCAAUUUUUGUUGUGCACUGAGAUUUGCUUCCCGUUCCCAAUCCUCCACCUCAAUCCCUCUUUUAGCAGUUGGGGAAGCACCGCUUGAGCCACCGCUUUUAUAAGAACUUCCUUCCCCCCACUGGAAAAAUAUUGUCUCUGCCAGCUAGAUAAUUUGCUCAACACUCGUAGCUUUAUGUCAUUAAAGAACCUAGUUUUUGCUCUCUCCACCAUAAAAGGAAGUCCAAGAUAUUUCUUAUGCUUGGACACUACAGCCAAAUCAAAAAUGCUGCUUAUUUCCUCCCUCAGCUGCUGACUUGUGCUAGAACUGAAAAACAUAGAGGACUUUUCAUAAUUGAAAAUCUACCUUGAGGCUACAGUGUAACAGUCAAAAACUUUCUUUAGCUCUCUGCGCUCAGCAUUAGAAGCUCUUAUGAACACUAGGCUGUCAUCUGCGAACAAAAGAUGAGUGACCAAAAUCUCUCUUCUGAAUUUCAAACCGUGAAAGAGGUUUUGACCUUCUGCUCUUACCAGUAAAUUUGAGAAUACUUCAGCACACAUAAUGAACAGGUAUGGCGAAAGCGGACAUUCUUGUCUUAAUCCACGUUGAGGAUGGAUGAGACCUUUUGCCAAUUCAUUUAUCAAGACUGAAAAGCUAGCUGUGGAUAUGCAAUUCAUAACCAAAUUCACCCACCUCACCGAAAAACCUAGCUUUUCCAUUGUUCCUUUAACAAAACUCUACUCCACCCUGUCAUAGGCCUUACUAAUGUCUAAUUUCAGAGCUAUCAAUCCAUUUCUGUCUAAUUUUGUUUAGACACUCAUAUCUUAUGAUUAUGUUAUCAGUUAUGAGCCUAUUAGGAAAUAAAGCACUUUGAUUGGGAGAUAUAAUAUCAUUCAGAACUAUUAGCUAUUGUUUUUCGACAAUUCUGUAAAUGACAUUACAAAGACUAAUUGGUCUUAACUCUGUCACUUUCCUAAGCUUUGACACUUUCGGGACUAAAGCAAUAAAAGUUUGGUUCAAAAGAGUAAGAUUACCUCCCUCAUUUAGGAUGUGCAGACAUGUUGAAACCACCCCCUCAUUGACAGAGCUCCAAUGCUUUUGGAAGAAGGCCACCGGAAGACCAUCUGGACCUGGUGCCUUUGUGGGACAGAUGGGCUUGAUGUGGUGAAAAUAUUUGUAAAAUAUUUUCACUACCUCGACAUCUUCAAUCCAAUCACCAUUUUCGUCUUCAAUGCCAUGGAUUCUGUUUUUUUUUUCCUCCUAGCCGAAGCCUUUGUAUGGAAAUAUUUUGUGUUCCUAUCACCCUCUUUCAGCCAAUCCACUCUCGAUCUUUGCUUCCAAAAAAUUUCUUCAUCAGCUAGAAUAUUAUCUAUCUAAUUUUCAACUCGUUUUAAUUCAUCUCCACUUUCAAAAUGAUAGUAAUCUUUUUUCAUGCUUUCCAGCUUGUUAACAAGUUUCUCCAGCUUCUUUUUCCUUCCAUUAAAUUCUCCAUUGCUCCAAAGUUUCAGCUCAGCCAAGGUUUCUUUCGAUUUUUUCAUGAAGAUUUCAGCCGGGUUGCUACUAUUCCAGCAACAUUGCUCCUUCCAUUCAUGCUUCACAAUUGUCUUGCACUUCUCGUACGGGCUCCACAUAUCUUCAUAAUGGAGCCUAGGAUAUGUUCUCUUCAUGUAGCCCUUGCCCCUGCCUUUCUCCAGCACUUCCAUCAUAAUCGAAAUGUGGUUCGAACUCCACGAAGUCAAAUUCGAAGCUACCUUUUCCUAAUAAAAGCUUCCCCAUUUUCUGUUGCACAAGAAUCUAUCGAGUUUCUCUUCGAUUAUGUGAGGCCCAAACCUCCUAUUUGAUCAAGUGAAAGGGUAUCCGCUACUUCCCAAAUCUUUCAAAUCACAGUCCCUCAUUGCUCUCCUAAACUCAUUCACCUCAUUUACCCGUUUCUCAUUUCCCCCAAUCUUCUCAUUUAAGUUCAACAUUUCAUUAAAAUCCCCAAAACACAGCCAUGGUAAUGAAGACAACUUUGUUAUCCUUCUCAACAGCUCCCAAGUGUGUUUUUUUUGUCAGAUUCAGGAUGUCCGUAAACCCCCGUGCACAUCCAAUAGCUUCCAUUUUCGCUAUGCACCACGGCAUCAACAUGGUGUUUACUGUAAGACUUGAUAUCAAUUGUAACCUCUUCAUUCCACAAUAAAGCCAAACCGCCCCCCCAAACCUUCUCUAUUAACUGCAAAGUAGUUUUGAUACCUCAACCUUUUUGCUUUCUCUUGCAUUUGCUUAACCUUCAAUUUAGUUUCAUAGAUGAACAUAAUUUCAGGCCUAUGCUCACACAAGAGUUGCUGGGCUUCUCAGAACGUUCGGUCAUUUCUCAGCCCCUGAACGUUCCAGCUAACGAUUUUCAUGGCUGUCAGCGAGGCUGUUUCACAGCCACCGCCGAUUUCUCAUUUCCAGCAUUCUCAAACUCCCCCUUGUCUUCCUCUUCCACAUUUUCAAAGCUGAGCCCCUUUGUUGCCAAGGCUUUUCCAAACCGUUGGUUGCUCCCCAUUUUUUGUGGGCUGUUCCCUUUGCACUUUUUUGGUUUUGGGCUUUCCCAGUUCAUUGAGCUUCUCAACCUUUUUAAUCCCAAAACUUCUUCAUUUGUUUCUAUAUUCCCUUCCACGUUGCGGGCUUGAAAUUUCCACGUUGCGGGCUUGAAAUUUCCACUUCUUUUUCUAUAUUCCCUUCCACGUUGCGGGCUUGAAAUUUCCACUUCUUUUUCUUGGGCUUUGAUUUAUCCAUUCUGAGCCCAUUCUCUCUAUUCUCCACUUCUGAUUUCGUUUGGAGUGAACACGUAUACAUGUUGAGCUUGUGGCCCCCCUCUUCUAUACUGCCUUUCCUUCCAUUUUCUUCUUGCUCCCCUUUUCCCGCUCUAUAUAAGCCCGCAUUUUGCAUUUUUACUGACUUUUUAUGUUGGAGGUUCGCUUCCCACUCUUUUUCUUUUCCAUCUAUAGUUCUUGCCUCCUUGUCCAUCUCCCACAGCACUGCACCUCCAUCUGCUUGAUUUUUACUGACAUUACAGCUGGCCGCUGGCUCUGCAGUCUUUUUUGCCUCUUUCAUUAAUUGUUCCCCAGUUCCCAAUUGAUCCCUGCUCCUCGUUCCACUCAAACUCCCCAUACCUGAAUCCAAUUCGGGCCUAUUGAGUCCAUAUUCUAUUUCAUGAACCCCUCCGUUUUGUUGGUCUUUCUCCAUCAUAUCAUUUUCUCCAGCCCUUUUAUUGGAUCUAAAGCAUUUGGAGGAUUGUUUCUGAAAUCUGAAUCCCAUCUAUCUUUCCUUCUACCCUGUUUCAAUUUCUCAGUAAUCGUGAGUGCCUUAAGCCAUGGACCAUACGGCAUUUCAUCCUUGGACUGAGAUUUAUAGUGGACACACUCUCUGUAUUAGUGACCUAUCCGCCCGCAACAGAAACAAAAAUCCAGCAGUCUUUCGUACAUGACCCGCAUAGGAAUGUCUUCCUCAUCCUCCCCUUUUUGCUCUAGCUCAAUUAGUUUCUUUAAAGGCUUCGUGACAUCCACAGAAAUUCUCAACCUCAAAAAUUGUCCAAAGCAUUCCCCAGUUGCAUCUGUUUCAAUUUCUUCAACUUUUCCAAUGACAUUUCCUAGCUCCAAUGCCAUCUCCUUUGACAUACACAUGAUGGGGAUAUUGUGUAUCUGCACCCAGAAUGAUACGUGAUUGAAUUUCUACUUCUUUACAUCACCAAUUCCCGCUGGUUCGGUGAGCACAAUGAGUGCUCUGUCAAAAUGCCAAGGGCCACCCGCCUCAGUUCCAAACUUAAACAUGAACACAUUAUCACCCAGAUCUUCUAUCUUUACUUCGCGUGAGGUUCUCCAUUCCCUUUGCAUAACAGACUUCAACCCCUCAAUACUGACUCCCCUCGUAUGCAGAACUUUCCCGAUCAAACACCCCGCAACUAUUUUUUCCCCAAUGGCCUUCAUUUGACUCUUGAAAGAAACUCUUCCCUCCUCUUCAUCACUCAACUUUAUCGCUCUACAUCUUCUGAUUAGCUCCUCUGGGUCCAUCCUCUCUAACUCACAGACUUGCAGGCUAGAAAGGAUUAGCUGGGAGCUUGGAGCCUUUAAGGAUUUGACUUUUGAAAGAGAAUUUCACCAACUACUCAACACUCUUUCACAGAUUGACUGACCUAAAUCCCGUACAUCAUUAAAUAAUGAAAGUGAUAAAAACAAUAGGAAGAAAACCCACCCCCAUCAGAGUGACUUAAAGGAGCCAUGACACCUCUAUUUUUCCUCUCAUCGUUGUAAGUUUUCAGAGAAAACUCAUAAGGAGAGAGACUGACAACUCAAACCUUAGUUCACAACAACUCUUAAAUACAUGGAUCCAUAUCUUUCUAUUUUCAAAAUGGUUGUGGAAAAGUAAAACUGUGUUACUCUCUCUUGGCAUUGGGCUAAUUCUCCGUGAGAAUCUUGAAAUAAAGUUAACUUUUAUAACUAGAGGGAGGACCAACUUCUUUUAUAAUUAAAAUAUUUAAUGUAAUAAAAUGUAUAAAUAUAUCUAAUAUGGGCUUAAUAAGAAUUCAUGUGCGACAUUAAAGGUAUGCUUGGUACCAUUUUUUGGUAAACCUUUUUUUUUUUUCAUUUUAUGACAAUACAAAAAUGUAAAACUCAUUUGGUGGAUGCAAAAAAUAUAAAAUUGAAUAGUUAUUGGUUUUUACUUUUUUUUCAUAAAGGUAAAAAACAUUAAAUUGAGGUUCUUUUAUCAUAUUUCUCAUUGAAUUCCCUCAAAAGUGAAAUAAAUCAUUAGAAAAAGGAGACAUACAUCCUUAAAAUUUGAAAAUUUUGUUAUGCAAACUCUUAAAUAUAAUAUAAUACCCUUUGGAUAUAGAAACUAGAAAAUUGACUUUAAAAGGUUUUAAUAAACUUUGCUGCUGUACGGCCAAGGCGGAUGUACGGUACAGCAGUUUAAUUUUAUAUUUAUAUUUAUUUUAAAGAUUUUAAAUAAAUCUUUGGAUUAAAAAGAUUUUACAAUUAGCAAAAUAUCUUCCUAUCAAUAAUAUUAAAAUUAUUUAUUGAUAAUAUUCCAAAUAAUUUAAAUUUAUUUAUUGUAAUAUUAUGUUUCUAUUUAUUAUUAAAAUUACUUUAAUAUGAUAAAAUAUGCAUCGCAGAUUCUAAAGUAUAAAAAUAUUUUCUUUGCUUGUCAACAAAUGUUUUUUUCCUGAAAACCAAAAUAAAAUUAGAGUGAUAAUAGAGCUACAAACUCUUGUACAAACUUAUUUCGUACAAACUGAUGCGUCAUUAAUUCAUUGGUUGAAUGAAAAUAUAAAAUAAUAGAAAUAAAUCAUGUGGGCCAAGAGAUAUUUAAUUCAACCAAUGAAUUAACGGCAUAUCAGUUUGUACAAAAUAAGUUUGUAUAAGAGUUUGUGGCUAUAUCAUUACUCAUAAAAUUAUGUCAACAUCAAUUCUUCAACACAGCAACAUUUGCUACCCUGCUUUAUGUUUAAUACUACUCUUUCCAUGCCCAAAAAUUCAAAAAUUUUUAAUGGGUCUUGUUACUGGGCUUCUGGCAGUAAUAACAUUGAAGGCAUUUUGAUUUUAAAUUUCUUUUAAAAGAAAAAUUCUUUAAAUUAAAAAAAAGAAAAGAAAAGAAAAAAUUGAUUUAAGAUGAAGGUUGGAUCCCUAUUCUUUUCAGAAGGCACGCGUCUCGAAGAACAUGUAUCACGUGUCUAAGAGAAAAAUGAGCAAUAAUGCCGUAUUUGCGGAAUUUAGCCACUUCGCCAGUUUCUUGGCAUCUUCCUUGCAAAUUCUUCCAUAGUGUUUAAUUUUCCAUAGUGUUUUAAUAUUCAACAUUUCUUGAAGCAAAUAACAAUACAUCUGGGUGCUACAGACAGAAGGAGAUAUGCUGGACGUCCACCUCCGACUAUUUUGUGAGAGGUUGAAAAGGGUGUUAGCUGGUGAAGAAGGCACGUUGACGUUGCGUGAUUCAACAAAUUUAGCCAUCUAGCUACAUAGAUCAUUCACCAGAUGAUAUUUGGAGGAUGCAAAAACUCAUGUAUCUAAACUUCGGUUUCAUCAAUCUGCCCGCACCUCAAAAAAAUUAUUGCAGCUCUCUGAAAAAUCUCAUUUUCUUAUCAGCCUUACACCCUAGCAGUUGCACUCCAGCUAUAUUGGGCAGACUACCAAUUGUCCAAAGUCUAAGAAUAUCUGGAGAUUUGAGUUACUAUCAAUCUGGGGUUUCCAAAAGCCUAUGCGAACUGCACAAACUUGAAUGCUUGAAGCUGGUGAAUGGGAGCAAGCGCUCACGGAUUGUCCUGACUGAAUACCAACUUCCUCCAAGUCUGAGCCAUACGAGCAUAUCGAACACUGAGCUAAUUGAGGAUCCCAUGCCAAUGCUGGAAAAGCUUCCACGCCUUCAAGUGCUGAAACUGAAGCAGAACUCGUAUUUAGGAAGAAAGCUGGCCUGCGUUGGCUCUGGUGGCUUUCCGGAACUUAAGAUUUUGCACCUGAAGUCAAUGUAUUGGCUAGACGAGUGGACGAUGGGGGCAGGAGCAAUGCCAAAACUUGAAACCUUAAUUGUCAACCCAUGUGCUUACUUGAGAAAGCUUCCAGAAGAGCUAUGGUGCAUAAAGAGCUUGUGCAAAUUGGAUUUACAUUGGCCUCAGACAGAGUUGAGACAAAGACUACGGACUUUCGAGGAUAUGGAGUGGCGGUAUGACAUCCAGUUAUAUCCUUACGGAAUCUGAUAGAUUGAAUUGGGUGACUUUUAAUCUAAUCUGAUAACUCAUACUUCUGUUACUUGCCUCAUUUUAUAUGCAACUUUUUNNNNNNNNNNNNNNNNNNNNNNNNNNNNNNNNNNNNNNNNNNNNNNNNNNNNNNNNNNNNNNNNNNNNNNNNNNNNNNNNNNNNNNNNNNNNNNNNNNNNNNNNNNNNNNNNNNNNNNNNNNNNNNNNNNNNNNNNNNNNNNNNNNNNNNNNNNNNNNNNNNNNNUGUAUCUAUCUAAUAAUUAGAACUGUAAAAGUUGAUUUUCAUCUAUGAUUCUUAUUUCCUUUUACUUGUGUAGACAAAAUCGGCAAGGGAAAUAUUGUAAUUCAGUAUUUGCUAUAACUGAUGCCAUGGUUGCAAUAUUGUCUACAAACAUGAAUAGUUGUACUCCUUUCUCUAUUUUUUGAAUUUUUUGGUAUGUAUGUUUGUGUAUUUGUUUUAGUUACUGUUUUAUGCUUAGAAGUGCUCCAUUUAGGCCCUAGAUACAUGCAGGUACGGUUUGGCUAGCUGUGGACUUGUAUGGUUUUCUAGUUAAAGAAAAUAUCAAUCUUCUAGAAAAACUGCCUCAUGCGUGUACAUUUCUGCUUCAUUUUAGUUGCUGCCUCAUGCAUAAAAUUAUGUACAACUAUACAUUUCUUAUUAAUUUAUGCAUGUAGUGAUGUUUUGAAUCAUAUCGGAGAAUCGUUUAUAUUUAUUAAGACUCAAUGUACAUGCAAUUUGUAGUAUCGCCCAGAGAUCUGCCAAGCAUUAGCUUAGAAAAAUACUCUGUCCAAAUUCAGAGAAAUUAGCCCGGGUCAUAUUUAAAUAAAUAAAUAUAAGGCCCUAAUUGAAAUGCCAUUGUAUUUUCUUAAAUUUCAAUUAAUUAUCAAAUAGAAAAAUGGCAAGUCACAUUUGAACUUAUUUACAAGCAUAGCUCUUGAUAUUUAAAUAAAUAUAUAUAUAUUUAGAUAUACCUUCAAUUGGCCUAUCUCCUCUCAUAAUAUUUCUUUCAUUCAUAACUAUUGGAUAAAGAUUAGAAUUUGAUCAAUGAAAAAAAGAUAAACAAUUACCAAUUCUAAUUGAAAUGCCAUUGUAUUUUCUUAAAUUUCAAUUAAUUAUCAAAUAGAAAAAUGGCAAGUUUUUUUUGCUUCUUGAUUUUGAUUGGGAAAACUACUGAGACAGAGAUCUUUAAUUGCUAGACAUCUUCAAUAAAUGACUCCUAGCUAAAACUCCCAAAAACUAUUCAUAGAUAUCAAUUAUUAAUGCAUAUUUACUCAACAAAAAAUUAUGAUAUAUUCCAAAUAUCAUAAUUUUUUUUCCCUCUUAUUAUUUCUGAAGUUAUUUUCUUCCUGUUUCUAAUGUUUCUCUAAUUCUUAAUCCCUUAAUGAUGAGGCGAGAAAGAUUACGAAAGUCAAACUGAUUAAAACUACAUAUAUAAAUAUUAGAAUCCAAACGUCCCGUGCCCAAAUCCUGUUGAACAACUAAUCUACAAGGGCAUUGGCCAGAGGCAAAUGAAGAUGGUUGAAUGAUUAAUUACUUUAAACAAAAAAUAAGUCGAAAUCUAUGAAUAGAAUUUUCCUUUCUUUAUACAUAUUCAAUUAUAACAAACGAUUAUUAAAUUACUCCCAACGAAAGGAUUAGGUUUUUCAUUAUUGCAAUUAAACAAGAUUCUCAUUUUCUCGCAUCGCGUGCAUUGCAAGUUGCAACAAUCGAAAACUCUUGCCGAUGCUAUUAGUAUAAUGUAUAAUGUGAGUGGCCGCAAAAAUGCUCUGCUGAUUUGACACCGGUGUAACUGUAAACUAAACUUUUAUUAUUAAGUAAAACAAACACAUGUUAACAAAAAGAACAAUAAUUCAUCAAUUUGUACAUUGACAACUAAAUAACUAUAAUUUUUUUUUGUUAAAUCUCUAUUUAUAAAAACUCUACUAACAAAAGCCCUCCUUAAAUAAAUUCUAGUUAAAAAGUUAUACCAAACGGAGCCAUAAUAUAAUUACAAAUUUCCUAACUAAGCUACAUUAUUAUGCACCUUAGCAAUUAAAGCAAAUACUAUUGACUUGAGGAAGCACUUUUUGUGUUUCUUUAUUAGUGUGUGCAUGUACCAAACAAACUCUUCUUAAAAGCGAAAACAAAUCUCUCUUUAAAUUAAUAAAUAUUAAUUUAUCAUGAUAAAUUUUUCAUUCAAUAAAUAAAUAAAUAACUUAUCUAAAAUAAUAUUUUUUCUUAGUCCUAACAAUAUUAUUUUAUAGAUAUUGUUCUACAUUACUGUGCAAUAAUGAAAAUUUUUUAUAUUUUUAAAAAUAUAGUUACAAUCUAGAUACAUGUACGUUGAUAAUACAACUUUGAAAUAUAUCAAGACAAUUUUGAAAAUCUACUUCUACUAAUAAUAAUAUUAUGGAGAAAUUAAUUGUCACGUGGCUGCUAUAGAGUCUUAUUCAACAGGGUAAUUGUUGUUAUAGUCAAAACAAAUAUUUAGUUUUUAUUUACUUGUUGAAGUGGUCCACUAAAUCAGCACUUGGUGCUAUCAUUUAGCUGUGUCUUUGUUAUUUUCUGUUAAUGUCUUUGUAUAAAUUCAUAGUCCGAAGAUGAAUAAAAGCCUUGGUUACGUUGGCACGUAAUUUUCUUCAAAGAUGAAUGAAGGCUUCCAAUUAAUUUUCUUCAAAGUUCCUCUAGUAUUGGAAGCCUUGGUCUUCCUCGAAAUAGACCAAGUUCAGCUGAUCGUUCUUUAUUUAAUUAACUACUACAAUAGGGAAAUGAAAGAAAACGAUCCUGAAAAGGCAUGAUUCCUUAUAAGAUCGCUAAUGCUCAAAAUAAGUGGCUCAUAGAAAGACAAUGACCAGUAAUGAACAUAACAUAAUGGGUUCAAUUUCUAUCAACUUGUUUGAUAGUGUAGAUGUGGGAUGGAGAUGGAUUAAAGGAACCUCUUUUGAAAAGCAUCGAAAAUGAAUAAAGUGGGAAAAUCAAGAUAAGCAUGUUUGGUGGAUGCAUUUUUUGAAUUACAAACAAAAAAUACAAAAUUGAAUAGUUCUUGGUUUCCACUUUUUUCAUAAAGGUAAAGAAUGUUAAAUUAAUGUUCUCUGAUGAUAUUUCUUAUCGGAUUUCCCUCAAAAGCAAAAUAAAUUGUCGGAAAAAUAAUACCUACUUCCUUAAAUUUUAAAAAAAUUAUCAUUUAGACCCUGAAAUUUUAAAACAGUUGCACCAAAAUCUUUUCUUUAACUAUGAUACCUCUUGAAUGUACUAACUAAAAAAUUGACUUUAAAAAAUUUUAAUCAAUACGAAUAUAAUAUAAAUAAUAAAAUCUACGUAGUAGGCUAAUAACAUUAUGAGCUAUUUUCCUAGAGGGUAUAACGCUGAUGACAAUGAGGAGAAUCACUUAAUUAACGUAUUGAAAUAGCAACUUGGUUUAGAUCUACAAUGCCACUUGCUAUAUGAAAACGUAUAUAAUCAUAAUUAAUUAGCGAAAAGGACGUUGUAAUUAUCUGAAUUAAGUAAUAAACGCUUCAACUAAUCUACAAGGGCAUUGGCCAGAGGCAAAUGAAGAUGGUUGAAUGAUUAAUUACUUUAAACAAAAAAUAAGUCGAAAUCUAUGAAUAGAAUUUUCCUUUCUUUAUACAUAUUCAAUUAUCACAAACGAUUAUUAAAUUACUCCCUACGAAAGGAUCAGGUUUGUCAAUAUUGCAAUUAAACAAGAUUCUCAUUUUCUCGCAUCGCGUGCAUUGCAAGUUGCAACAAUCGAAAACUCUUGCCGAUGCUAUUAGUAUAAUGUAUAAUGUGACUGGCCGCAAAAAUGCUCUGCUGAUUUGACACCGGUGUAAUUGUAAACUAAACUUUUAUUAUUAAGUAAAACAAACACAUGUUAACAAAAAGAACAAUAAUUCAUCAAUUUGUACAUUGACAACUAAAUAACUAUAAUUUUUUUUGUUAAAUCUCUAUUUAUAAAAACUCUACCAACAAAAGCCCUCCUUAAAUAAGUUCUAGUUUAAAAAUUAUACCAAAUGGGGUCAUAAUAUAAUUACAAAUUUCCGAACUAAGCUACAUUAUUAUGCACCUUAGCAAUUAAAGCAAAUACUAUUGACUUCAGGAAGUACUUUUUGUGUUUCUUUUAUUAGUGUGUGCAUGUACCAAACAAACUCUUCUUAAAAGCGAAAACAAAUCUCUCUUUAAAUUAAUAAAUAUUAAUUUAUCAUGAUAAAUUUUUCAUUCAAUAAAUAAAUAAAUAACUUAUCUAAAAUAAUAUUUUUUCUUAGUCCUAACAAUAUUAUUUUAUAGAUAUUGUUCUACAUUACUGUGCAAUAAUUAAAAUUUUUUAUAUUUUUUAAAAUAUAGUUACAAUCUAGAUACAUGUACGUUGAUAAUACAACUUUGAAAUAUAUCAAGACAAUUUUGAAAAUCUACUUCUACUAAUAAUAAUAUUAUGGAGAAAUUAAUUGUCACGUGGCUGCUAUAGAGUCUUAUUCAACAGGGUAAUUGUUGUUAUAGUCAAAACAAAUAUUUAGUUUUUAUUUACUUGUUGAAGUGGUCCACUAAAUCAGCACUUGGUGCUAUCAUUUAGCUGUGUCUUUGUUAUUUUCUGUUAAUGUCUUUGUAUAAAUUCAUAGUCCGAAGAUGAAUAAAAGCCUUGGUUACGUUGGCACGUAAUUUUCUUCAAAGAUGAAUGAAGGCUUCCAAUUAAUUUUCUUCAAAGUUCCUCUAGUAUUGGAAGCCUUGGUCUUCCUCGAAAUAGACCAAGUUCAGCUGAUCGUUCUUUAUUUAAUUAACUACUACAAUAGGGAAAUGAAAGAAAACGAUCCUGAAAAGGCAUGAUUCCUUAUAAGAUCGCUAAUGCUCAAAAUAAGUGGCUCAUAGAAAGACAAUGACCAGUAAUGAACAUAACAUAAUGGGUUCAAUUUCUAUCAACUUGUUUGAUAGUGUAGAUGUGGGAUGGAGAUGGAUUAAAGGAACCUCUUUUGAAAAGCAUCGAAAAUGAAUAAAGUGGGAAAAUCAAGAUAAGCAUGUUUGGUGGAUGCAUUUUUUGAAUUACAAACAAAAAAUACAAAAUUGAAUAGUUCUUGGUUUCCACUUUUUUCAUAAAGGUAAAGAAUGUUAAAUUAAUGUUCUCUGAUGAUAUUUCUUAUCGGAUUUCCCUCAAAAGCAAAAUAAAUUGUCGGAAAAAUAAUACCUACUUCCUUAAAUUUUAAAAAAAUUAUCAUUUAGACCCUGAAAUUUUAAAACAGUUGCACCAAAAUCUUUUCUUUAACUAUGAUACCUCUUGAAUGUACUAACUAAAAAAUUGACUUUAAAAAAUUUUAAUCAAUACGAAUAUAAUAUAAAUAAUAAAAUCUACGUAGUAGGCUAAUAACAUUAAAGUAUAUUUAACAUUUAAAAUAAUAUUAAAAUUUUCAAAUUAUGAUUUUUAUUUUAAUCUUAUAUUUGUAUUUAUUAUAGAGAUUUUAAAUAAACCUUUGGAUUAAAAAGAUUUUAAAACGAGGUCCGGCGACUUUCCGGCGAUGUCCGACGGUGGUCCGGCGAGGUCCGGUGGUGGUCCGGCGACUUUCCGGUGGAAGUCCAUUUAUAAUAUUAAAUUAAUAAAAUAAAAUAAUAAUUAUUAAUAAUAUUAAAUAAGUUAAAAAAUUAAAGGGUAAUUUUAAAAACUUUAAUUUUUAAUAUAAGAGGAAUUUAAAAUUUUCACUAGUUAAUAUAAGAGAAUAUUAGAUUUUUUUGUUUUUUUUUUUAUUUUAGUUUAACAAUAUAAAUUUUUUUAAUUUUAAAUGGAUAAAUUAAUUGAAUUUUGGAUGUCCAUUAAAUAUUCAUACCCAUCCAAUAUCCAAUUGGAUAUUUUUAAAAAUAUCCAUAUCCAUAUCCAAAAAGAUUUUGGAUGGAUAUUAUCCAAUCCAAUUGGAUUGGAUAUAUGGAUAUCCAAUUUGGAUGGACCAAUUUGCCAUCCCUACUAAUAACAUUAAAGUAUAUUUAACAUUUAAAAUAAUAUUAAAAAUUUCAAAUUAUGAUUUUUAUUUUAAUCUUAUAUUUGUAUUUAUUAUAGAGAUUUUAAUAAACCUUUGGAUUAAAAAGAUUUUAAAAUUAACAAAAUGUCUUCCUAUUAAUAAUAUUAACAUUAUUUUUUAUAAUAUUCCAAAUAAUUUAAACUUCAAUUUAUUUAUUGUAAUAUUAUGUUUCUAUUUAUUAUUAAAAUUACUUUAAUAUGAUAAAAUAUUUUCUUGCUUGUCAAAAAAUUUUUUUUUCCACGAAAGCCAAAAUAAAAUUAUGUCAAUAUCAAUUCUUUAACAGAACAACCUUAGGCCUUUCUAAUGUUUAAUACUACUAUUUCCAUGCCCAAAAAUUGUAAAAUUUUUAAUUAGUCCUGUUACUGGGCUUGAGGCAGUUACGCCAGUGAAGGCAAUUUGAUAUUAAAAUAUUUUUUAAUGAAAAAUUCUUUAAAUUAAAAAAGAAACAAUUGAUUUAAGCACCAAUAAUUAUGUCAUGGUAGUAAUUAAAUAAGAUAAAGGUUGGAUACCGAUUGGGAUACCUGUUCUUUUCAAAAGGCACGCAUCUUGGACUUUUCUCUAAAUGAACGCGUAUCAAUUUUUUGAGUUAAAAAAAGAGCAAUAAUGUCAUAUUUGUGGAAUUUAGCCACUUACACAGUUUCUUGGCAUCUUCCUUUCAAAUUCUCCCAUGGUGUUUAAUCUUUCAACUAUACCUCUGAGUGCUACGGAGAGAAGGAGAUAUGCUGGAAUUCCACCUCCGACUGUUUUGUGAGAGGUUGAAAAGGGUGUUAGCAGGUGAAGAAGGCACGUUGCCGCUGCCAGAUUCAACAAAUUUAACUCCACUUUUUCAAAACCUUCUUACGGAGUCCGAAAUUAUUGCUACUACUCUGCUGGAAAAAAAUGAAGCUGACAUGGCUCGGCAUUUGUUUCAACUCAUUAGAGAAGAAUUCGAUGAAUCCAAAAUAUCUUCGCCUUUUUUGCAACUGUUGGACUUAGAAGAAAGCGAUGAAGAAGUCGUUGAAACAGCAGAUAUUUUUGAAAUUCUGGAGGACAUCAAUGACUUUGUCCAUGAAUCUGAGGAAGCCAUUGACACACUCUUCAUCAACAUCAUGCAGCAGCAAAACAGUGAAAACGAAAGUGAAAGCAGUACUAAUAUGGCUCUUCUUGCUGGUCUCCACAGUAAAAUCAUUGAUAUUAGUAAUCGGAUGCAACAACUUCCACCCGGCGACAAUGGUUUUGAUAUCAGUGAAAAAAGUAACGAAAUCAUUCGCCUAUUGAGUGAGGGACAACCUCGGCUCGAUAUCAGUGAAUUUGAAAGGGGCAGAGAGAAGUUUUUUGAUCUAUUGAUUGAGGGACCAUCUGGGCUUUCAGUGGUUGCAAUUCUCGACAGCAGUGGCUUCGAUAUUUUUCAUAAAGGUAAAGAAUGUUAAAUUAAUGUUCUCUGAUGAUAUUUCUUAUCGGAUUUCCCUCAAAAGCAAAAUAAAUUGUCGGAAAAAUAAUACCUACUUCCUUAAAUUUUAAAAAAAUUAUCAUUUAGACCCUGAAAUUUUAAAACAGUUGCACCAAAAUCUUUUCUUUAACUAUGAUACCUCUUGAAUGUACUAACUAAAAAAUUGACUUUAAAAAAUUUUAAUCAAUACGAAUAUAAUAUAAAUAAUAAAAUCUACGUAGUAGGCUAAUAACAUUAAAGUAUAUUUAACAUUUAAAAUAAUAUUAAAAAUUUCAAAUUAUGAUUUUUAUUUUAAUCUUAUAUUUGUAUUUAUUAUAGAGAUUUUAAAUAAACCUUUGGAUUAAAAAGAUUUUAAAAUUAACAAAAUGUCUUCCUAUUAAUAAUAUUAACAUUAUUUUUUAUAAUAUUCAAAAUAAUUUAAACUUUAAUUUAUUUAUUGUAAUAUUAUGUUUCUAUUUAUUAUUAAAAUUACUUUAAUAUGAUAAAAUAUGCAUAAUAAAUUUUAAAAAAUAAAAUAAUUUUCUUGCUUGUCAACAAUUUUUUUUUUUCCACCAAAACCAAAAUAAAAUUAUGUCAAUAUCAAUUCUUUAACAGAACAACCUUAGGCCUUUCUAAUGUUUAAUACUACUAUUUCCAUGCCCAAAAAUUGUAAAAUUUUUAAUUAGUCCUGUUACUGGGCUUGAGGCAGUUACGCCAGUGAAGGCAAUUUGAUAUUAAAAUAUUUUUUAAUGAAAAAUUCUUUAAAUUAAAAAAGAAACAAUUGAUUUAAGCACCAAUAAUUAUGUCAUGGUAGUAAUUAAAUAAGAUAAAGGUUGGAUACCGAUUGGGAUACCUGUUCUUUUCAAAAGGCACGCAUCUUGGACUUUUCUCUAAAUGAACGCGUAUCAAUUUUUUGAGUUAAAAAAAGAGCAAUAAUGUCAUAUUUGUGGAAUUUAGCCACUUACACAGUUUCUUGGCAUCUUCCUUUCAAAUUCUCCCAUGGUGUUUAAUCUUUCAACUAUACCUCUGAGUGCUACGGAGAGAAGGAGAUAUGCUGGAAUUCCACCUCCGACUGUUUUGUGAGAGGUUGAAAAGGGUGUUAGCAGGUGAAGAAGGCACGUUGCCGCUGCCAGAUUCAACAAAUUUAACUCCACUUUUUCAAAACCUUCUUACGGAGUCCGAAAUUAUUGCUACUACUCUGCUGGAAAAAAAUGAAGCUGACAUGGCUCGGCAUUUGUUUCAACUCAUUAGAGAAGAAUUCGAUGAAUCCAAAAUAUCUUCGCCUUUUUUGCAACUGUUGGACUUAGAAGAAAGCGAU